rnacentral:piRNA from 1 species
UGUUGAUUCAAGCAGUUACCUAAUCAUCAA